GCUGGGUAUGGUGGUGCACACCUGUAAUCCCAGCUACUCGGGAUCUUGGGGCAGGAGAAUUGCUUGAACUCAGAAGGUGGAGGUUCCAGUGAGCCAAGAUCGUGCCUCUGCACUUCAGCCUGGAGACAGAGUGAGACUCUGUCUCAAAAAAAAAAAAAAAAAAAUUAUGUGUCAUGCUUCAGUUUAUCUGUUCUUUCUUUUAUUUUUUUUGUGACAGGGUCUCACUCUGUUGCCCAGGCUGGAGUGCAGUGGCGUGAUCUCGGCCCACUGCAACCUCCACCUCCUGGGUUCAAGCAAUUCUCCUGCUUCAGC
rnacentral:SRP_RNA from 1 species